rnacentral:misc_RNA from 1 species
UGUGGGAGUGAGCCUGCUCGCGAUUGCGGAGUGUCAGUCGACAUCGUCGUUGUCUGAUACUCCAUCAUCGCGAGCAGGCUCACUCCCACA